AGUCGAGCGAAUCGAUGGGAGCUUGCUCCCGUUGGUUAGCGGCGGACGGGUGAGUAACACGUGGGCAACCUGCCUGUAAGACUGGGAUAACACCGGGAAACCGGUGCUAAUACCGGAUAAUCCUUUUCCUCUCAUGAGGAAAAGCUGAAAGAUGGCUUCGGCUAUCACUUACAGAUGGGCCCGCGGCGCAUUGGCUAGUUGGUGAGGUAACGGCUCACCAAGGCGACGAUACGUAGCCGACCUGAGAGGGUGAUCGGCCACACUGGGACUGAGACACGGCCCAGACUCCUACGGGAGGCAGCAGUAGGGAAUCUUCCGCAAUGGACGAAAGUCUUGACGGAGCAACGCCGCGUGAGCGAUGAAGGCCUUCGGGUCGUAAAGCUCUGUUGUUAGGGAAGAACAAGUGCUAGUUAAAUAAGCUGGCACCUUGACGGUACCUAACCAGAAAGCCACGGCUAACUACGUGCCAGCAGCCGCGGUAAUACGUAGGUGGCAAGCGUUGUCCGGAAUUAUUGGGCGUAAAGCGCGCGCAGGCGGUUUCUUAAGUCUCAUGUGAAAGCCCCCGGCUCAACCGGGGAGGGUCAUUGGAAACUGGGGGACUUGAGUGCAGAAGAGGAAAGCGGAAUUCCACGUGUAGCGGUGAAAUGCGUAGAGAUGUGGAGGAACACCAGUGGCGAAGGCGGCUUUCUGGUCUGUAACUGACGCUGAGGCGCGAAAGCGUGGGGAGCAAACAGGAUUAGAUACCCUGGUAGUCCACGCCGUAAACGAUGAGUGCUAAGUGUUAGAGGGUUUCCGCCCUUUAGUGCUGAAGUUAACGCAUUAAGCACUCCGCCUGGGGAGUACGGUCGCAAGACUGAAACUCAAAGGAAUUGACGGGGGCCCGCACAAGUGGUGGAGCAUGUGGUUUAAUUCGAAGCAACGCGAAGAACCUUACCAGGUCUUGACAUCCUCUGACACUCCUAGAGAUAGGACGUUCCCCUUCGGGGGACAGAGUGACAGGUGGUGCAUGGUUGUCGUCAGCUCGUGUCGUGAGAUGUUGGGUUAAGUCCCGCAACGAGCGCAACCC
rnacentral:rRNA from 1 species